rnacentral:lncRNA from 1 species
GUCUAUCCCAAAUUCAUGUAUUUGGUUUAGAUUUUAUAUUUGUUAUUCUCGUGGGAUUUUGUCAGAUGCUUGGUCCGUUUCUGUGUGUGUUAGUUACAUUGUAGUGUUGUGUCGUUGUUCUCCUCUUAUAUUUAUGCGUUUCCCUCAGAUUUAGUUUGUUACCCCGAUUAUGUUUUUUGUCCAUGGAUUUAUGAGUUUGAACAGCGGUAUACUACUAUUGCCUUUAUUUAUACAAACUUGAACUGCUAUUAGAUGAUUAAAUCAUUAGAUUCCUGACAUAAUGCAUAUACAAAAAAGAAGAUGUGGUAUAUAAAGGCUACAAGACAUUUCUUGACAAGAG